UUUAUGGAGAGUUUGAUCCUGGCUCAGGAUGAACGCUGGCGGCGUGCCUAAUACAUGCAAGUCGAGCGAACGGACGAAAAGCUUGCUUCUCUGAUGUUAGCGGCGAACGGGUGAGUAACACGUGGAUAACCUACCUAUAAGACUGGGAUAACUUCGGGAAACCGGAGCUAAUACCGGAUAAUAUUUUGAACCGCAUGGUUCAAAAGUGAAAGACGGUCUUGCUGUCACUUAUAGAUGGAUCCGCGCUGCAUUAGCUAGUUGGUAAGGUAACGGCUUACCAAGGCAACGAUGCAUAGCCGACCUGAGAGGGUGAUCGGCCACACUGGAACUGAGACACGGUCCAGACUCCUACGGGAGGCAGCAGUAGGGAAUCUUCCGCAAUGGGCGAAAGCCUGACGGAGCAACGCCGCGUGAGUGAUGAAGGUCUUCGGAUCGUAAAACUCUGUUAUUAGGGAAGAACAUAUGUGUAAGUAACUGUGCACAUCUUGACGGUACCUAAUCAGAAAGCCACGGCUAACUACGUGCCAGCAGCCGCGGUAAUACGUAGGUGGCAAGCGUUAUCCGGAAUUAUUGGGCGUAAAGCGCGCGUAGGCGGUUUUUUAAGUCUGAUGUGAAAGCCCACGGCUCAACCGUGGAGGGUCAUUGGAAACUGGAAAACUUGAGUGCAGAAGAGGAAAGUGGAAUUCCAUGUGUAGCGGUGAAAUGCGCAGAGAUAUGGAGGAACACCAGUGGCGAAGGCGACUUUCUGGUCUGUAACUGACGCUGAUGUGCGAAAGCGUGGGGAUCAAACAGGAUUAGAUACCCUGGUAGUCCACGCCGUAAACGAUGAGUGCUAAGUGUUAGGGGGUUUCCGCCCCUUAGUGCUGCAGCUAACGCAUUAAGCACUCCGCCUGGGGAGUACGACCGCAAGGUUGAAACUCAAAGGAAUUGACGGGGACCCGCACAAGCGGUGGAGCAUGUGGUUUAAUUCGAAGCAACGCGAAGAACCUUACCAAAUCUUGACAUCCUUUGACAACUCUAGAGAUAGAGCCUUCCCCUUCGGGGGACAAAGUGACAGGUGGUGCAUGGUUGUCGUCAGCUCGUGUCGUGAGAUGUUGGGUUAAGUCCCGCAACGAGCGCAACCCUUANNNUUAGUUGCCAUCAUUNAGUUGGGCACUCUANNNNGACUGCCGGUGACAAACCGGAGGAAGGUGGGGAUGACGUCAAAUCAUCAUGCCCCUUAUGANNUGGGCUACACACGUGCUACAAUGGACAAUACAAAGGGCAGCGAAACCGCGAGGUCAAGCAAAUCCCAUAAAGUUGUUCUCAGUUCGGAUUGUAGUCUGCAACUCGACUACAUGAAGCUGGAAUCGCUAGUAAUCGUAGAUCAGCAUGCUACGGUGAAUACGUUCCCGGGUCUUGUACACACCGCCCGUCACACCACGAGAGUUUGUAACACCCGAAGCCGGUGGAGUAACCUUUUAGGAGCUAGCCGUCGAAGGUGGGACAAAUGAUUGGGGUGAAGUCGUAACAAGGUAGCCGUAUCGGAAGGUGCGGCUGGAUCACCUCCUUUCU
rnacentral:rRNA from 1 species